rnacentral:rRNA from 1 species
GACGAACGCUGGCGGCGUGCUUAACACAUGCAAGUCGAACGAAGUGGCGAACGGGUGAGUAACGCGUAAUCAACCUGCCCUUCUGAGGGGGACAACAGUUGGCAACGACUGCUCAUACCGCAUACUGAAGGAGGGGAUUGCGUCGGAUUAGCUGGUUGGAGGGGUAACGGCCCACCAAGGCGAUGAUCAGUAGCCGGUCUGGGAGGAUGAACGGCCACAUUGGGACUGAGACACGGCCCAGACUCCUACGGGAGGCAGCAGGGGGGAAUCUUCCGCAAUGGACGAAAGUCUGACGGAGCAACGCCGCGUGAGUGAUGACGGCCUUCGGGUUGUAAAGCUCUGUUAAUCGGGACGCGGUACCGGAAUAGAAAGCCACGGCUAACUACGGGCCAGCCGCCGCGGUAAUUC